rnacentral:rRNA from 3 species
UCUGGCGGCAUAGCGCGGUGGUCCCACCUGACCCCAUGCCGAACUCAGAAGUGAAACGCCGUAGCGCCGAUGGUAGUGUGGGGUCUCCCCAUGCGAGAGUAGGGAACUGCCAGAC